rnacentral:tRNA from 1 species
GGAUUGUGGCUCAGUGGUAGAGCGCUUGCCUAGCAUGUGCAAGGCCCGGGGUUCGAUCCUCAGCACCA